UACGUAGGGGGCAAGCGUUGUCCGGAUUUAUUGGGCGUAAAGAGCGUGUAGGCGGCCAGGUAGGUCCGCUGUGAAAACUCGAGGCUCAACCUCGAGAUGUCGGCGGAAACCAUCUGGCUAGAGUCCGGAAGAGGAGAGUGGAAUUCCUGGUGUAGCGGUGAAAUGCGCAGAUAUCAGGAAGAACACCCAUGGCGAAGGCGGCUCUCUGGGACGGUACUGACGCUGAGACGCGAAAGCGUGGGGAGCGAACAGG
rnacentral:rRNA from 1 species